GACGAACGCUGGCGGCGUGCCUAAUACAUGCAAGUAGAACGCCGAAGGAGGAGCUUGCUUCUCCGGAUGAGUUGCGAACGGGUGAGUAACGCGUAGGUAACUUGCCUGGUAGCGGGGGAUAACUAUUGGAAACGAUAGCUAAUACCGCAUAAUAGUAGAUGUUACAUGUCAUUUGCUUAAAAGGUGCAAUUGCAUCACUACCAGAUGGACCUGCGUUGUAUUAGCUAGUUGGUGGGGUAACGGCUCACCAAGGCGACGAUACAUAGCCGACCUGAGAGGGUGAUCGGCCACACUGGGACUGAGACACGGCCCAGACUCCUACGGGAGGCAGCAGUAGGGGAUCUUCGGCAAUGGACGGAAGUCUGACCGAGCAACGCCGCGUGAGUGAAGAAGGUUUUCGGAUCGUAAAGCUCUGUUGUAAGAGAAGAACGAGUGUGAGAGUGGAAAGUUCACACUGUGACGGUAUCUUACCAGAAAGGGACGGCUAACUACGUGCCAGCAGCCGCGGUAAUACGUAGGUCCCGAGCGUUGUCCGGAUUUAUUGGGCGUAAAGCGCGCGCAGGCGGAUCAGUCAGUCUGUCUUAAAAGUUCGGGGCUUAACCCCGUGAUGGGAUGGAAACUGCUGAUCUAGAGUAUCGGAGAGGAAAGUGGAAUUCCUAGUGUAGCGGUGAAAUGCGUAGAUAUUAGGAAGAACACCAGUGGCGAAGGCGACUUUCUGGACGAAAACUGACGCUGAGGCGCGAAAGCCAGGGGAGCGAACGGGGUUAGAUACCCCGGUAGUCCUGGCCGUAAACGAUGGGUACUAGGUGUAGGAGGUAUCGACCCCUUCUGUGCCGGAGUUAACGCAAUAAGUACCCCGCCCGGGGAGUACGACCGCAAGGUUGAAACUCAAAGGAAUUGACGGGGGCCCGCACAAGCGGUGGAGUAUGUGGUUUAAUUCGACGCAACGCGAAGAACCUUACCAGGUCUUGACAUUGACGGACAGAACUAGAGAUAGUUCCUCUUCUUCGGAAGCCAGAAAACAGGUGGUGCACGGUUGUCGUCAGCUCGUGUCGUGAGAUGUUGGGUUAAGUCCCGCAACGAGCGCAACCCCUAUCUUAUGUUGCCAGCACUUCGGGUGGGAACUCAUGAGAGACUGCCGCAGACAAUGCGGAGGAAGGCGGGGAUGACGUCAAAUCAUCAUGCCCCUUAUGACCUGGGCUACACACGUACUACAAUGGGAGUUAAUAGACGGGAGCGAGAUCGCGAGAUGGAGCAAACCCGAGAAACACUCUCUCAGUUCGGAUCGUAGGCUGCAACUCGCCUACGUGAAGUCGGAAUCGCUAGUAAUCGCAGGUCAGCAUACUGCGGUGAAUACGUUCCCGGGCCU
rnacentral:rRNA from 1 species